rnacentral:tRNA from 1 species
AAGGGAUUAGGACAGUGACCUUCUAAGUCUCUAAUGUAGGUUCGAAUCCUACUGGG